rnacentral:rRNA from 1 species
UAAGGAAUAUUGGUCAAUGGACGCAAGUCUGAACCAGCCAUGCCGCGUGAAGGAUGAAGGUCCUCUGGAUUGUAAACUUCUUUUAGACGGGACAAAACCCCUUUACGUGUAAAGGGUUGAUGGUACUGUCAGAAUAAGCAUCGGCUAACUUCGUGCCAGCAGCCGCGGUAAUACGAAGGAUGCAAGCGUUAUCCGGAAUUAUUGGGUUUAAAGGGUGCGUAGGCGGACUAAUAAGUCAGUGGUGAAAGCCUGCAGCUUAACUGCAGAAUUGCCAUUGAUACUGUUAGUCUUGAGUACAGUUGAGGUAGGCGGAAUGUGUCAUGUAGCGGUGAAAUGCUUAGAUAUGACACAGAACACCGAUUGCGAAGGCAGCUUGCUAAGCUGUAACUGACGCUGAGGCACGAAAGCGUGGGGAGCAAACA